GAUGAACGCUGGCGGCGUGCCUAAUACAUGCAAGUCGAGCGAACGGACGAGAAGCUUGCUUUUCUGAUGUUAGCGGCGGACGGGUGAGUAACACGUGGAUAACCUUCCUAUAAGACUGGGAUAACUUCGGGAAACCGGAGCUAAUACCGGAUAAUAUUUUGAACCGCAUGGUUCAAAAGUGAAAGACGGUCUUGCUGUCACUUAUAGAUGGAUCCGCGCUGCAUUAGCUAGUUGGUACGGUAACGGCUUACCAAGGCAACGAUGCAUAGCCGACCUGAGAGGGUGAUCGGCCACACUGGAACUGAGACACGGUCCAGACUCCUACGGGAGGCAGCAGUAGGGAAUCUUCCGCAAUGGGCGAAAGCCUGACGGAGCAACGCCGCGUGAGUGAUGAAGGUCUUCGGAUCGUAAAACUCUGUUAUUAGGGAAGAACAUAUGUGUAAGUAACUGUGCACAUCUUGACGGUACCUAAUCAGAAAGCCACGGCUAACUACGUG
rnacentral:rRNA from 1 species